rnacentral:rRNA from 2 species
GACGGAGGGUGCUAGCGUUGUUCGGAUUUACUGGGCGUAAAGGGCGCGUAGGCGGCCUUCUCAGUCGGGUGUGAAAGCCCGGGGCUCAACCCCGGAACGGCACCCGAGACGGGAAGGCUGGAGACCGGGAGAGGAGGGUGGAAUAGCCAGUGUAGAGGUGAAAUUCGUAGAUAUUGGCUGGAACACCGGUGGCGAAAGCGGCUCUCUGGCCCGGUUCUGACGCUGAGGCGCGAAAGCGUGGGGAGCAAACAGG